AGAAAAGGUCAGGAUAGCUCAGUUGGUAGAGCAGAGGACUGAAAAUC
rnacentral:tRNA from 8 species